AGAAACUACGAGAAUUCCUGUUAGAUUUGAGAGUGGGCCUGCUUUUGUGGUGUGCUGGUUCAGGUAGAGUCAUGGUUGAUGUCACAACCGACUUGCUUCAACCUCACAGGGCUUGAUGCUGACAGCGUAGUCCCCCAGGACUUCACCUCUCGGAAAGGACUGAAGUGAUUUCCGGACUAUAGUGCUUCAAGUCGGCAAGGAAGAACCUUCAUUGCGUGGCAUUCAGCGAUAGCGACAAAGCAACUCCCUUCUUUGGACAUGUUCUUGAGCUGUGUGCAGAGGUCUCUUAAAGUGUCUCAUGCACCAGCUGUCUAAUCUGUGUUGGAUGCUGCAGUACAGCUGUAUCUCCAGUGACCCAGCAUAGCCAUGGAUCGACUGCCCAAGGGUACGGUCAUGGGGCAGCACACAAGAUGAGGACUCUAAGGAAGUUUAAAAGAAGAAAAAAAUCUCUAAGGCUAAAUGUGAUAGUGCUGCUUCUGCAGUAUUUACACCCACCUUGCUAUGGUCCCCUUCACACAGCACACAGAAAAAGCAAAACGCUAACUUUGCAGAAACCCAGAAUUGCCAGGAGUAUUGCCAGGAGGAUGGAGUUAAACCCGAGGGCUGGGAGAGUGAAGAGGAAAUGACUUUCGAAGCCCCUCUUUUUAUGCUGUUGCCAGCCCCUAGUUGAAAACAUCAGUAUCAAAUGGCUGAGAAGGAUUUCAAAACUUGAUACCACUUGUAGUAAGCAAGGUCCUUCACACAGGGUAAGCCGAUAUCACAUUCGGUUUUCAGGAAGAAAUCGUGGUGGCUGGCAAGUUGCAGCUCUGUCCAGCUCUCACCUUCCCCUCACCCUCUGAAACGCAGCCAGCGUGGGGAGCUGUUUUGGCACCUACCUCUCCGUCAGCACAGAAGGGGCAGGGAGCGUUGACUGCCAAGUCGGUGGACCUUCAGGAGCUGACAGCCUGAACCCCACAGAUCACCGGCCAUGCGUGCGCAGCGCCUGGGCCUUGGGCUGCCCGCCUUCCAACUCCAUCUCCCGCAGCCCGGGCGCCUUGGCUGGCUGCAGCACCCCCCGUGCCGGCAGCAUCUCCCGCCGUUCCGCACGGCCUCCUCCUGGAAGGGGACUUGCAGCCAAAGGAGGCCGCCAGUGUUACAGUCCCGAUGUGUUUGUCAUUCAGGGGCAGUAACAGGACAGUUGGUGGUACAACAGGGCCCGUCUGCUUCAGCAUGCUCUCCAGAAGACAUAAGGAGCUAGAAUGAAGGCAGUUAUGCGGUGUCCUGACUCGGUCGCCUGUGUGCGUGUGUCCUGAGCCCCAAAGCUGCAAGCAUUUGCAUUCGCUGGAGUGUGAAGUGCCACUUGAAAAACCUGUGAUUCUCUGCAGGCCUCCCGCUCCUGCUUGUCACACCUCGGACCCGACCGGUGGUGCUGCGAGCAGCGCUUGCGCUUUUGCAGACGCGUUAGUGAUGCGCAGAGGCCAGCAGAGCUCAGCUGUCAGGCUGAGGCAGCCAGAUCAGCAUGGUGCAGCCUGCAUCGCCUCGGUGCAGACACUGCUCUUGCCCUGCUGCUCUUCACCUCCAGCUUCAGACUGCAGUCCUGAUGCAGCCCCAUGCCCCCGCUUCCACGACGGGUUCAGUGAGGGCAGGCACCUGAUUGUAAGCACAUGGUGAUUUGGGGGUUAGGCACAAGGCUGAGAACAUCUCAGAUGAGUGAUGGGUGGGCAUGGCAGCCCUAGGAAAUGCUUUGUCAUGUCUCAGAAGGAUAAAGCUUAACCCUCUUGUUUACCAGAGUAGCAAUCUCAAAGGAGCAAGAUUGCUCAACAAGAAGCACACUAGAUUUGCUGCUGGCGAGCAUCAGUUUUAAACUCGAGUCUUACCAGCUUUAGAGCACAGAGCAUGAUUUCUUUUUGUACAGGUCCUUCACUUCUUCCUUCAUCCUCACAGUAACUGCAAACAAAUGAGCAUCAUCCUUUGUGGGCACAAAGCUGGGUUUUACAGGAUGCUAUGUGCUGUGAACUGGGAGUAUAUUAGAGAAGAGUUGGCAUUGAUUUUGCGGCUGGAGGCUUUGCUUUCUUUAUCUGGGCGUGUGUCAGAGAUGAUUCUUUAACAUGAAGAAAAUAGAGAAUAAUUAAAUAUAACUCUGUCUUCUUCCCCCCCACCCUUUUAAUCUACCUAUUUUUAUACUGUCGUUAUGCACAUCUUGGAAUGCAUGUGCCUUGUUGGUAGCGCAGUGUAAAAGCAAGCUUGCAAAUGCUGUGUUCCACUUCAGCAUCCAACCAAUAGUGAGAACCACAAUCUCUGAAACAGCAUAUGAUUGUGAACCUGCCAAGAGAAGAGGAGACGCGCCUUCCUCGCUGUUUCCCUGA